UGGGGAAUAUUGGACAAUGGGCGCAAGCCUGACCCAGCCAUGCCGCGUGAGUGAUGAAGGCCCUAGGGUUGUAAAGCUCUUUCACCGGUGAAGAUAAUGACGGUAACCGGAGAAGAAGCCCCGGCUAACUUCGUGCCAGCAGCCGCGGUAAUACGAAGGGGGCUAGCGUUGUUCGGAUUUACUGGGCGUAAAGCGCACGUAGGCGGACUAUUAAGUCAGGGGUGAAAUCCCGGGGCUCAACCCCGGAACUGCCUUUGAUACUGGUAGUCUUGAGUUCGAGAGAGGUGAGUGGAAUUCCGAGUGUAGAGGUGAAAUUCGUAGAUAUUCGGAGGAACACCAGUGGCGAAGGCGGCUCACUGGCUCGAUACUGACGCUGAGGUGCGAAAGCGUGGGGAGCAAACAGG
rnacentral:rRNA from 1 species